UACAGAGGGGGCAAGCGUUGUUCGGAAUUACUGGGCGUAAAGGGCGCGUAGGCGGCCUUCUAAGUCGAACGUGAAAUCCCCGGGCUCAACCCGGGAACUGCGUCCGAUACUGGAAGGCUUGAAUCCGGGAGAGGGAUGCGGAAUUCCAGGUGUAGCGGUGAAAUGCGUAGAUAUCUGGAGGAACACCGGUGGCGAAGGCGGCAUCCUGGACCGACAUUGACGCUGAGGCGCGAAAGCCAGGGGAGCGAACGGG
rnacentral:rRNA from 1 species